UACGUAGGAGACGAGCGUUGUCCGGAAUUACUGGGCGUAAAGGGCGCGUAGGCGGCCUGUUAAGUCGAACGUGAAAUCCCCGGGCUCAACCCGGGAACUGCGUCCGAUACUGGCAGGCUUGAAUCCGGGAGAGGGAUGCGGAAUUCCAGGUGUAGCGGUGAAAUGCGUAGAUAUCUGGAGGAACACCGGUGGCGAAGGCGGCAUCCUGGACCGGUAUUGACGCUGAGGCGCGAAAGCCAGGGGAGCAAACGGG
rnacentral:rRNA from 1 species